CUCCAAACAAGUCUUUGGUGGUGGCAGUGGCGGUGGCAAACUGGGGCACAAAAGCAGGGUGAACUAAAGACGUCUCCUCAGCCUGCCUUCCGCCCACCCCGAGCGCACCUGCUCCCUCCCUUUCAGGCUGUCGGGCCCGCCGAGGGGUCCCCGGUGGGGAGCGGGCUGGGUGGGGCCGGGUGGGUUACAAAAGCCGAUGAGUCUCGGCUCAUUGCUCCCUCUGCACCCGCUCCUCGAUGAGUCAGACCCAGACCUUACGGGACGCUGUUAGGGGUCAAUCACUCCCCCUCCCACCCUGGCAUUCAAUGUAGGAAGUCAGGUCUCUCCCCAGCCUCCUAGCAAGAGGAGGAAGGCCCACGGGCGCCCGAGAAACUUACCGAGGAAGCCUCGAUGCCCUCCCCCCACGCACACACGCAUGUACCCCCAUUGCUCCUUGCCCCCAGCUCAACGACCUUCUUUUUUAUUCCUAACAGUGAUGACUUUCACGACCCCGACCCCCCGCCUGAACCUGGGGAAGACGAGAUCGAGCUGUUAGAUGACACCCUUGACCUGGAAGCCGAGCAGGACCUGGAGUCUGAGUCCGAGUUGGAGUCCGAACUGGAACCAGAACCUCAGCUGCUCCCAGAAUCGGAGUCCGAGCUAGAAGACGAAGUCCCUGUCCCAGUCAGCGUCUUCGUUCAAACCUCCAAUCUGGCAUUUAGCCUGACCCCGAGGAAGAUGCCCCCGGGACCCAGAGUGAAUGUCCAGAUCCAGACGGCUGUUGGGCCCAAAGGGGCAUUGGAGUUAAGUAUUUCCCACGAGCCCCGGAGCCCGGAGCCCUUACCGGUGAAGGAUGGUCUGCACCAUACAUUCCGGUCAGUCUUUGUGCAAACCUCCAGGCACCUGUUCCGGAUAGACAAGCUGAUACAGGCGUCUGACCAUCGCCUCAAGCAGCCAUUAGGGAUAGGGUGCCACCCAUUCCCAAUGCGAGACUGGCCUUUCCAGAAAUCUUUUGGACGAACCUCCAAGGAAAGCCUGCUCUCUGGCAACAAAUUGUCCAAGAUGUUCAUGGAGGACGUUAGAAUCCAAACCUCUCACCCAAGCCUGGGCAUUGAAGGUUUCCCACCACAGACCCCCAUUCAAGUAUUACUACCAGAAAGGUCGCCCUCAGAAAUCCAGUUGCUACCUUCCCGAAGCUUGUCUGCUAAAUUCUCGGAGCCACUGGACUUCAGAAUACUAGACUUUCGUCCAACCUCUGCCAGCCUUCCCCCAGCGCUGGUUUCUAGUACUGCGACCUCUUGCAAUUCCUCUUCCACAGAGCUGAUACUAGAUUCCAAAGCUCUGAUUUCCUGCAAGUCUUCCACAGGGCUGAGAAUGAGCUCCAGGUCACCCAUGACCCAAGAAUCGACCACGGACCUUUCCAUAGCAACUGAGCAGCCAGUCUCACCUUUGCCCCUCCUGAAGCCACCAGAAGCAGGGGAGCCUCAGAAGUCCAUCAGCCAGGAAUUUGCCCCGAAGCCAGGCUAUGCUCUGAACAUGACCAAGGCAGCCUCAGAAAGAGCAUCCAUGGAAGGGGAAGUUAACCCUCUCCACUCUCCAUCUUUAGCUCCAGUGUCAUCGGGACCUUGGAAAGAGGUGAGGAGGGAACCAUGGAGGGCAUGGAAGGGGGUGCGGAGCCUAUGGACCAGUGAAUCCUCUCCCAGUGCUUCGUGGGAAUAAACAGACACUGACACAGAUGGACAGCCAACUCCAAAAGCCUUGGAGGUAGGGGGGAUAUUAACUCCCCCAUUUCCUUCCCACCACCCCACCACUGCCUCCAGCCUGGAGAGGCUGCCCUUCUCUCCUCUGGUGGUGGCAAGGGCCCGGGCCUCCCAUGACUCUGUCUCUCUUAUGUUGCAGCUCCACGUCAAGAAUCAGAAGUGGAAACCCACUAUUCCUACAUAUACAUUUUAAGCUGUCAACCUCACAUCAUAUCCUAAAAAUGCUUAGCCAAAGAUCAAUAAAAC
rnacentral:lncRNA from 1 species